UACGUAGGGUGCAAGCGUUGUCCGGAAUUAUUGGGCGUAAAGAGCUCGUAGGCGGUUUGUCGCGUCUGCUGUGAAAACUGGAGGCUCAACCUCCAGCCUGCAGUGGGUACGGGCAAACUAGAGUGCGGUAGGGGAGAUUGGAAUUCCUGGUGUAGCGGUGAAAUGCGCAGAUAUCAGGAGGAACACCAGAUGGCGAAAGGCAGGUCUUCUGGGGC
rnacentral:rRNA from 1 species